rnacentral:rRNA from 1 species
AGUGAACGCUGGCGGUAGGCCUAACACAUGCAAGUCGAACGGCAGCACAGUAAGAGCUUGCGCUUACGGGUGGCGAGUGGCGGACGGGUGAGGAAUACAUCGGAAUCUACUUUUUCGUGGGGGAUAACGUAGGGAAACUUACGCUAAUACCGCAUACGACCUACGGGUGAAAGGAGGGGAACUUCGGACCUUGCGCGAUUGAAUGAGCCGAUGUCGGAUUAGCUAGUUGGCGGGGUAAAGGCCCACCAAGGCGACGAUCCGUAGCUGGUCUGAGAGGAUGGUCGGCCACACUGGAACGGAGACACGGUCCAGACUCCUACGGGAGGCAGCAGUGGGGAAUAUUAGACAAUGGGCGGAAGCAUUAUCCAGCCAUACCGCGUGGGUGAAGAAGGCCUUCGGGUUGUAAAGCCCUUUUGUUGGGAGAGAAAAGCAGCAGGUUAAUACCCCGCUGUUCUGACGGUACCCAAAGAAUAAGCACCGGCUAACUUCGUG